rnacentral:rRNA from 1 species
AUGAAGAACUUGAAAGAUGACAGAACUACGAUUUUGCCCUCAACUACGAGGGGAGGUAAGGAACUGCCAUCUAGCUCUGCACUAGAUUCUCCUUCCGUUAUUAGUAAGCUUGCGACACCUAAACCUGCUACUUCUAUGAAUUCUGAUAUGUCGCAUGUUAUUGAUGAUGCCAGUUCUGCUAUGCACGAUGAAACUACUUCUGUGUGUGAUACUACUUUGCCAUUAGGUGAAUUUCUUGAUGAACAACUUGCUAGAGUUAGGGGGAAUGAUAAUAUUGAAGAUACUAUUAUUGAUGAUAGUGAUGAUGAAGGUUCUCCCAAUGAUUAU